rnacentral:rRNA from 1 species
GAUGAACGCUGGCGGCGGGCCUAAUACAUGCAAGUCGAGCGAACAGAUGAGGAGCUUGCUCCCCUGACGUUGGCGCGGGACGGACGGGUAAGGAAUGCAUAGCAAUCUAUUAUUACGGGGUGAAUUCCGGAAAGCAGCUUCCACUACUGCUGCAUACUUCCACCGGCUGGAUGCAUGGGAUAAUCAGGCCUUGCUCGCUUGUAUGAGUCGAUGCCGGGCUGAAUAGUUUAGUUGGUAAGGUAACGGCUGACCAAGGCAACGAUGCGUAGCCGACCUGAGAGGGUGAUCGGCCACACUGGAACUGAGACACGGUCCAGACUCCUACGGGAGGCAGCAGUAGGGAAUCUUCCGCAAUGGGCGAAAGCCUGACGGAGCAACACCGCGUGAGUGAUGAAGGUCUUCGGAUCGUAAAGCUCUGUUGUUAGGGAAGAACAAAUGUGUGAGUAACUAUGCACGACUUGACGGUACCUAAUCAGAAAGCCCCGGCUAACUACGUG